CAGCCGCCGCGGUAAUACGAAGGGGGCUAGCGUUGCUCGGAAUGACUGGGCGUAAGGGGCGCGUAGGCGGCGCAGAUAGUCAGAUGUGAAAUUCCCGGGCUUAACCUGGGGACUGCAUUUGAUACGUCUGUGCUUGAGUGUGGAAGAGGGUCGUGGAAUUCCCAGUGUAGAGGUGAAAUUCGUAGAUAUUGGGAAGAACACCGGUGGCGAAGGCGGCGACCUGGUCCAUAACUGACGCUGAGGCGCGAAAGCGUGGGGAGCAAACAGGAUUAGAUACCCCGGUAGUCCCUGUCUCUUAUAC
rnacentral:rRNA from 1 species